AUAUCGGUUUUAAAGAUCUACAGUGAUAGAUCAAUCCAGAUUUCACGUGGUCAACCGUCAAGUCAACCAUCCCGAAUUUCAUUAAAAAGAAGCUUUUAAAAUGCCUAACAAGAAAUUUCUCAAUAAGAAGAGUAAAAGGGUGUCUGCUGCAAGGAGAUACAAAAUAGAGAAACUGGUUCGUCAGCACAAUAAAAAAGCCAAGAAAGAAGCCAAGAAAAAUCCCAACAAAUUUGUCAGUAAG